CAAAAAUAAAAGGAACUCCCUGACUUGAAUUCACAAACUGUGCUUGUUUUUGUUAAACAGAACAAAAUCUGCGGUGACGGUAGCAAGUUCAAUAACGUGUAGCGCAUACGUUUUUCUCUCAGCUAGAAAGCACCUUCCUUAAGAAACGCUUUUAAAAUAUUCAAUGUAAACUACUGAAGAUACUCAUAUUAAGUAGUACUCCCCAAGCUGACAAGCUGAAGAGAUUACCAACCCCAGCCAACCCCCGACUGUUUGUUGCCAUCCUCUCGCCAGAGAACACCGCCUUGCCAGAUCCACUGGUUAAAUUACUUGUGUGAUCACUCCCUAAUUUAUUUCAAAGAGACUUGGUUAGCAAAGCAGGCAAGCAGAAACGAUCUAUUAUUUCAAUGGUUUAUGCUGGCUCAUUUUAAUUUUAAUAGCCUAGAAAGCCAUCUCAGCCAGGAAACGAAGGAUGGCAGCUACUGAAAGCAGUCUUGGGCUGGUCAACUUCAGCAACUGAAAGAGAAAAGAUGCAAUAUUUAAACCAAGGUCCAGCAAAAUAUUUAGGCACCUCUAUGCUUAAAACACCCGGAUCACCCUACUGCUGUAAAUAAACUAUUUAAUAAACUCUGACAAUUAUGGGUUUUUUUUAAAACUUAUGACAGAGGAUAUUUGUAUAUGAAAAUUAAACAUCUUGUUUGCAUAAAUCUUCUAAGCUCUUCCUGUAAUCAAUGGAAGAACUGGCUCCAGAAGGGCAAUUCCCCAGCUAUCUGAGAAAGGAGGUGCCAGCUGCCUUCUGAAGAUGCUCACCGCAGAGGACAGUCAUCCCUUAGGCUGGAAUAUGCAGCCAUCUUCUAGGCUGCUGAAGGUAUCCCUGUCUUUCUCUAUAUUCUGUAAUUAUCUACCAGUAUUUGCUCAACUCCCAACUCAUCUGGAAAAGGACAGCAGUGGAAUAAAUUCUGCAAACUUGUAGUUUCUGGUCCACUGAUUUAGGAGAAGAAAUACCUUUCCUCAAAGUGAGU
rnacentral:lncRNA from 1 species